UACAGAGGGUGCGAGCGUUGUUCGGAAUUAUUGGGCGUAAAGCGCGCGCAGGCGGGAUGGUAAGUCGGAUGUGAAAGCCCUCGGCUCAACCGAGGAAGUGCGUUCGAAACUACUGUUCUUGAGUGUCGGAGAGGGUGGCGGAAUUCCCGGUGUAGAAGUGAAAUGCGUAGAGAUCGGGAGGAACAUCAGUGGCGAAGGCGGCCAUCUGGGACAACACUGACGCUGAAGCACGAAAGCGUGGGGAGCAAACAGG
rnacentral:rRNA from 1 species